rnacentral:rRNA from 1 species
GAUAAACGCUGGCGGCAUGCCUAAUACAUGCAAGUGGAACAAGUCAUUUCGGUGGUUAGUGGCGGACGGGUGAGUAACACGUGAGUAAUCUGCCCUCCAGAGGGGAAUAACGUUUGGAAACGAACGCUAAUACCGCAUAACGUACGGUCCUCACAUGGGGACUGUACCAAAGAUUUUUAUCGCUGGAAGAUGAGCUCGCGGCCGAUUAGGUAGUUGGUGAGAUAACAGCCCACCAAGCCGACGAUCGGUAGCCGAACUGAGAGGUUGAUCGGCCACAUUGGGACUGAGACACGGCCCAG